rnacentral:rRNA from 1 species
CUACGGAGGGUGCAAGCGUUAAUCGGAAUUACUGGGCGUAAAGCGUACGUAGGCGGCAAGUUAAGUUAGAUGUGAAAGCCCCGGGCUCAACCUGGGAACUGCAUUUAAAACUGGCUUGCUAGAGUUGAGUAGAGGGGAGUGGAAUUUCAGGUGUAGCGGUGAAACGCGUAGAGAUCUGAAGGAACACCAGUGGCGAAGGCGACUCCCUGGACUUGAACUGACGCUGAGGUACGAAAGCGUGGGUAGCAAACGGGAUUAGAAACCCUAGUAGUCC